rnacentral:rRNA from 1 species
CCAGACUCCUACGGGAGGCAGCAGUGGGGAAUAUUGCACAAUGGGGGGAACCCUGAUGCAGCGACGCCGCGUGAGUGAAGAAGUAUCUCGGUACGUAAAGCUCUAUCAGCAGGGAAGAAAAUGACGGUACCUGACUAAGAAGCCCCGGCUAACUACGUGCCAGCAGCCGCGGUAAUACGUAGGUGGCAAGCGUUGUCCGGAUUUACUGGGUGUAAAGGGCGUGCAGCCGGAGAGACAAGUCAGAUGUGAAAUCCACGGGCUCAACCCGUGAACUGCAUUUGAAACUGUUUCCCUUGAGUACCGGAGAGGUCAUCGGAAUUCCUUGUGUAGCGGUGAAAUGCGUAGAUAUAAGGAAGAACACCAGUGGCGAAGGCGGAUGACUGGACGGCAACUGACGGUGAGGCGCGAAAGCGUGGGGAGCAAACAGGAUUAGAUACCCGAGUA